rnacentral:pre_miRNA from 12 species
GCUGGCCCCGACUCACUUCCUGUGACGCAUGAGCUUUUGGCUCGGGUUAUACCUGAUGCUCACGUAUAAGACGAGCAAAAAGCUUGUUGGUCAGAGGAGCUUCCAUCGAUCAGCCUG